rnacentral:rRNA from 1 species
UGGGGAAUAUUGGACAAUGGGCGAAAGCCUGAUGCAGCGACGCCGCGUGGGGGAUGAAGGCCUUAGGGUCGUAAACCCCUUUCAGCAGGGACGAAAAUGACGGUACCUGCAGAAGAAGCCCCGGCCAACUACGUGCCAGCAGCCGCGGUAAGACGUAGGGGGCGAGCGUUGUCCGGAUUUAUUGGGCGUAAAGAGCUCGUAGGCGGUUGCGUAAGUCGGAUGUGAAAACUCAGGGCUCAACCCUGAGACGCCAUCCGAUACUGCGCUGACUUGAAUCCAGUAGGGGAGUGUGGAAUUCCUGGUGUAGCGGUGAAAUGCGCAGAUAUCAGGAGGAACACCCAUGGCGAAGGCAGCACUCUGGGCUGGUAUUGACGCUGAGGAGCGAAAGCAUGGGUAGCGAACAGGAUUAGAUACCCACGUAGUCCCUGAGCGGGCUGGCAAGGCGCAU